ACGUAGGAGGCGUGCGUUAUCCGGAGUUACUGGGCGUAAAGGGCGUGCAGGCGGUUGGCUAAGUUUGUUGUGAAAGCGCCCAGGCUUAACCGGGCGAGGACAAUGAAGACUGGUCAGCUAGAGGACGGUAGAGGGGUGUGGAAUUCCACGUGUAGCAGUGAAAUGCGUAGAGAUGUGGAGGAACACCGAUGGCGAAGGCAGCCCCCUGGGAUGACACUGACGCUCAUGUACGAAAGCGUGGGUAGCAAACAG
rnacentral:rRNA from 1 species